CCCUUAGAUGUUCUGGGCCGCACGCGCGCUACACUGACGAUGGCAACGAGUUUUUCCUUCGCCGAAAGGUGUGGGUAAUCUUUUGAAACAUCGUCGUGCUGGGGAUAGAUCAUUGCAAUUUUUGAUCUUGAACGAGGAAUUCCUAGUAAGCGCGAGUCAUCAGCUCGCGUUGAUUACGUCCCUGCCCUUUGUACACACCGCCCGUCGCACCUACCGAUUGAAUGUUUCGGUGAAGAUUCCGGAUAGGACUGAUUUGAUUUAUUUCAUUUCUGACCUAAAAGCUAUCUAAACCUCAACAUUUAGAGGAAGGUGAAGUCGUAACA
rnacentral:rRNA from 1 species